rnacentral:rRNA from 1 species
GACAGAGGAUGCAAGCGUUAUCCGGAAUGAUUGGGCGUAAAGCGUCUGUAGGUGGCUUUUCAAGUCCGCCGUCAAAUCCCAGGGCUCAACCCUGGACAGGCGGUGGAAACUACCAAGCUGGAGUACGGUAGGGGCAGAGGGAAUUUCCGGUGGAGCGGUGAAAUGCGCAGAUAUCAGGAGGAACACCAGCGGCGAAGGCGGCGCUCUGGGCCGGUACUGACACUGAGGAGCGAAAGCGUGGGUAGCAAACAGG